AUGGAAAUUUGGCUUUGGAUUAUUCUGGCUGCUCUUUUCUUUGAGUGUAAAGGAGAAGACAGAGUGAUCCAGCCAACAGAAGAUGUCUUUGCUUCUGAAGGAGACACAGUCACACUUGAUUGUAAAUUUGAGACAACUGACACAGCCCCCUCUUUGUUCUGGUACAGACAAGAAAUGGAUGAUUUCCCAAAGUACCUGUGGAAAAGCUAUGGAAGUUUUUCAGGAAAUGCUCCUGGGAUCUCGGACGACAGAUUUAAUGUAACAAUCAACGGAAAAUCAGUUCCUCUGAAGAUCCAGAAGCUUCAGCUGACUGACUCUGCUGUGUACUACUGUGCUCUGAGGCCCACA